AUUGAACGCUGGCGGCAGGCCUAACACAUGCAAGUCGAACGAGCGGCGGAGGGGUGAGUAAUUUAUGGGGAUCUGCCUGAUAGAGGGGGAUAACUGGUGGAAACGGUGGCUAAUACCGCAUACUAUCGGAUCUAACCAGAUGUGAUUAGCUAUUAGGUGGGGUAAAGGCUCACCUAGGCGACGAUCUGUAGCUGGUCUGAGAGGAUGAUCAGCCACACUGGAACUGAGACACGGUCCAGACUCCUACGGGAGGCAGCAGUGGGGAAUAUUGGACAAUGGGCGCAAGCCUGAUGCAGCCAUGCCGCGUGUAUGAAGAAGGUCUUCGGAUUGUAAAGUACUUUAAGUGGGGAGGCGUUACCCGCAGAAGAAGCACCGGCUAACUCCGUGCCAGCAGCCGCGGUAAUAC
rnacentral:rRNA from 1 species